rnacentral:tRNA from 1 species
GGGAAUGUAGCUCAGUGGUAGAGCACUUGCCUUCCAUGUGUGAGGCUUUGGGUUUGAACCUCAGCGCCA